UGAAGAGAAGAACAAGAGUGUUGAAGGGAAAGCUUGAGGAAUCAAUUGGGGUGACCUAGGAGCUGAAUUGAAGCAAGGGUUAGGAAUAAUCAUCUUCAAAGGUAAGGGGGUUAGUUAUUAUCAUAAUCAUGUAUAAUCUUUGCAUUUUCUCAUGUUGUAUGAAAAUGGGUUGAUGAACAAUUGUUGUUAAAUUCGUGCUCUUGCUGUGAUGCUAUUUUCUUGUGCAUGAAUUGAUGAUUAUGGUAUGUUUAUGGGUGAAAUUACAUGUUUCAAAGUAUGUAUAAAUGUUAAGUUAUGAAAUUAUGCUUAAUUGAUGAAAUUUGAUAUGUUUUGAUUGAAAUGAGAUGUGAUUCAUAUUCCAUUGAUGUGGUUAUUGUCAACUGAUGCUAUUGUAAGUGAAUUAUGAUUUGGGUAUACUUAAUUGUGGAUUGAUGAUGAGAAAUAAAUUGUUGUUGGUGGUUUUGUGAAAUUGGUGAAGUUGAGUUAAGUGUUCAUGUGAAGGACCAAAAUGAACUUUUUGAUAUAUAUAUGGUUGUUGACUGAAAUUUUGUUAUUGUUGGAUG
rnacentral:lncRNA from 1 species